AGCAGUCGCCACGGUAAUACGUAGGGUGCGAGCGUUAAUCGGAAUUACUGGGCGUAAAGCGUGCGCAGGCGGUUAUAUAAGACAGAUGUGAAAUCCCCGGGCUCAACCUGGGACCGGCAUUUGUGACUGUAUAGCUAGAGUACGGUAGAGGGGGAUGGAAUUCCGCGUGUAGCAGUGAAAUGCGUAGAUAUGCGGAGGAACACCGAUGGCGAAGGCAAUUCCCUGGACCUGUACUGACGCUCAUGCACGAAAGCGUGGGGAGCAAACAGGAUUAGAUACCCGCGUAGUCCCUGUCUCUUAUAC
rnacentral:rRNA from 1 species